rnacentral:rRNA from 1 species
CCGGCGAUUUCCGAAUGGGGAAACCCAGUGUGUUUCGACACACUAUCAUUAACUGAAUCCAUAGGUUAAUGAGGCGAACCGGGGGAACUGAAACAUCUAAGUACCCCGAGGAAAAGAAAUCAACCGAGAUUCCCCCAGUAGCGGCGAGCGAACGGGGAGGAGCCCAGAGCCUGAAUCAGUGUGUGUGUUAGUGGAAGCGUCUGGAAAGGCGCGCGAUACAGGGUGACAGCCCCGUACACAAAAAUGCACAUACUGUGAGCUCGAUGAGUAGGGCGGGACACGUGGUAUCCUGUCUGAAUAUGGGGGGACCAUCCUCCAAGGCUAAAUACUCCUGACUGACCGAUAGUGAACCAGUACCGUGAGGGAAAGGCGAAAAGAACCCCGGCGAGGGGAGUGAAAAAGAACCUGAAACCGUGUACGUACAAGCAGUGGGAGCCUCUUUUAUGGGGUGACUGCGUACCUUUUGUAUAAUGGGUCAGCGACUUAUAUUCUGUAGCAAGGUUAACCGAAUAGGGGAGCCGAAGGGAAACCGAGUCUUAACUGGGCGUUAAGUUGCAGGGUAUAGACCCGAAACCCGGUGAUCUAGCCAUGGGCAGGUUGAAGGUUGGGUAACACUAACUGGAGGACCGAACCGACUAAUGUUGAAAAAUUAGCGGAUGACUUGUGGCUGGGGGUGAAAGGCCAAUCAAACCGGGAGAUAGCUGGUUCUCCCCGAAAGCUAUUUAGGUAGCGCCUCGUGAAUUCAUCUCCGGGGGUAGAGCACUGUUUCGGCAAGGGGGUCAUCCCGACUUACCAACCCGAUGCAAACUGCGAAUACCGGAGAAUGUUAUCACGGGAGACACACGGCGGGUGCUAACGUCCGUCGUGAAGAGGGAAACAACCCAGACCGCCAGCUAAGGUCCCAAAGUCAUGGUUAAGUGGGAAACGAUGUGGGAAGGCCCAGACAGCCAGGAUGUUGGCUUAGAAGCAGCCAUCAUUUAAAGAAAGCGUAAUAGCUCACUGGUCGAGUCGGCCUGCGCGGAAGAUGUAACGGGGCUAAACCAUGCACCGAAGCUGCGGCAGCGACGCUUAUGCGUUGUUGGGUAGGGGAGCGUUCUGUAAGCCUGCGAAGGUGUGCUGUGAGGCAUGCUGGAGGUAUCAGAAGUGCGAAUGCUGACAUAAGUAACGAUAAAGCGGGUGAAAAGCCCGCUCGCCGGAAGACCAAGGGUUCCUGUCCAACGUUAAUCGGGGCAGGGUGAGUCGACCCCUAAGGCGAGGCCGAAAGGCGUAGUCGAUGGGAAACAGGUUAAUAUUCCUGUACUUGGUGUUACUGCGAAGGGGGGACGGAGAAGGCUAUGUUGGCCGGGCGACGGUUGUCCCGGUUUAAGCGUGUAGGCUGGUUUUCCAGGCAAAUCCGGAAAAUCAAGGCUGAGGCGUGAUGACGAGGCACUACGGUGCUGAAGCAACAAAUGCCCUGCUUCCAGGAAAAGCCUCUAAGCAUCAGGUAACAUCAAAUCGUACCCCAAACCGACACAGGUGGUCAGGUAGAGAAUACCAAGGCGCUUGAGAGAACUCGGGUGAAGGAACUAGGCAAAAUGGUGCCGUAACUUCGGGAGAAGGCACGCUGAUAUGUAGGUGAAGCGACUUGCUCGUGGAGCUGAAAUCAGUCGAAGAUACCAGCUGGCUGCAACUGUUUAUUAAAAACACAGCACUGUGCAAACACGAAAGUGGACGUAUACGGUGUGACGCCUGCCCGGUGCCGGAAGGUUAAUUGAUGGGGUUAGCGGUAACGCGAAGCUCUUGAUCGAAGCCCCGGUAAACGGCGGCCGUAACUAUAACGGUCCUAAGGUAGCGAAAUUCCUUGUCGGGUAAGUUCCGACCUGCACGAAUGGCGUAAUGAUGGCCAGGCUGUCUCCACCCGAGACUCAGUGAAAUUGAACUCGCUGUGAAGAUGCAGUGUACCCGCGGCAAGACGGAAAGACCCCGUGAACCUUUACUAUAGCUUGACACUGAACAUUGAGCCUUGAUGUGUAGGAUAGGUGGGAGGCUUUGAAGUGUGG